CGAGGCUCCAACAUUAUAUCUAUCCCUCCUGGCUCUAACGGGCAGCAGGAAGCACAGCACUGCCAGUCACCACGCAGAUGCUGUGAGGGGCCGAGGUGAGCUGGAGUUCCACGCCUCACGCGGCAGCUGCGCUGCAAUGCGUGAGUGCCGCGCCACGUAGCCGAGGGGGAGGAAUUCUGCGCGAUCCAGUGUUCCAGCGGCCAGCAUUCAGCCAGCCUUCCGGACCACACGAAGGAUCUCAGUAUGCAGUGCUGCCAUGCCUGGUUUUAUGCACUGCUGUUGAUGGCACCCGGGGCACCGUGAUGCCAGGCCCUACCCAGAUCCCAGACUCUACCUAUGAAACUAUCUCUCCAGCCCUCAAGUACUGCAACCUUGAAGAAGAAUGAGAUAGAUUGGAUAUUACUGGGUUUUGUUUGUUUUGUUGUUGAUUAAAGAGGCAUGUGCCACCACUGCCUAGCAAUUACUGCCUCCUCCCCCAACAUGGUUUCUCUGUGUAGUUUUGGCUGUCCUGGAACUCACUCUGUAGACCAGGCUAGCCUCAAACUCACAGAGGUUCACCUGCGUCUGCCUCCAUAGUGCUAGGAGUGGAGGCGCGUGCCAGCAUUGCACAGCUUGGUUUUUAAAUGGGCACAUCUUAAUUGAUUGACAUGCCUAUCUAAAGAGGCAAGAGCAGAGCAGCCAGGCUUUUGCCCUGCUUGUAGUUAUCCUGUGCGGCCAAAUGAGCAUCCAACUGGUUUUUGGUUUUUAUUGAUUUUUAGCAAACAUAAUUUCCAAAUGUGUGUUUAAUCACCAUCUAUAAUGAAACAGAAAUCCGAAAGCACCUAGAAAUGUGUCUCACAAAAUACGUGCAAGACUAUUAGAAAACUACAAAAAGAUCUUAUGUACGUAUCUGAAAAUACCUGAUAUCCUAAAGACACACUUCUUUCCCCAAAACUGAUCAAUAUAUGCAAUACAAUUCCAAACAAAAUUUCAAUAGGGUCUUAAAAAAAAAAAACAAAACAGCUCCUCUGCAGGCAGGGCUGGAUGGCCCAGUGCCUCAGAAGUCCCUGCUCUCUGACACGGUGUCUGGAGAUGUUUGCCUCGGAGCACACCAGCAUGCACUGUCAAAGAUGAGUGCUUUCUAAGGCUGACCACACACACGCACCCCAGGUCUGCCCACCUCAUAGUCUUUCCUGGGCUAAUGAGCUGGGGUGACCUGCUUUGCGUGGGAAGCCAACAGGCCAGGAGCCCAGGUAGACAAGGACGCUGCAGCCGGGAGCAUCGUAGAAACACCUCCACUGUGGCUGAAAGCAUGUGGGCUGCACGGCACUCCUUACCCGAAGAACUUCCAAACUCUUCUUGCCAAUCAUGUCAGCAAAGAGUGUAAAGGACAUUUCUAUAAGGACAGGUACUGAGCCGGGCAUAGUGGUGCACGGCUGUAAUCCCAGCACUCGAGAGGCAGAGGCAGGUGGAUUUCUGUGAGUUUGAGGCCAGCCUGGGCUACAAAGGGAGUCCAGGACAGCCAAGGCUCCACAGAGAAACCCCAUCUCAAAAAAAAAGAACUGGUACUGACCCAAGAAAGCUUUCACCAGAUACUGGAAGAAAUGGCAGCAAAAAGCAGCAUGAACAGCACAAAGGCUUCGAAGUCACCCAUGUUGUCACUCACACUGAUGAGUGCCUGCUUCUCGUCCACCAGGAGUAAGGUGAAGAGGGCACUGUGGCCGAGAAAACCUAGACAUGACCUGGAGGGGUGGGACCACAGAGUCCCCAUAAGUGAGGUGUUCACACAGGCUGGGACGAUUGAUGGCAUCAGGGUAAGCAAGAGCAAAGGCUACAAAGAGGUCCUCAGUUACUGACACCAAGGGCUGAGCAAAGUUGCCUGAGUCGGAGGCUGGCACUCUGCCCUCGGGGCCUCCUGUAGCAUGAGCUGAGCAAAAAAGCUACCUCCACGGAGCUGCAGUCAGCAAGAAGGCCUGCAUAGAUCAGUCAGGCCUACAGUCUCCAGGAUGGCGAGCUGAUCAAGAACAAUGGCCCCAUCAACUGAGGCCUAUCAGAUAAGAGCAUCAACCCACCAGGCAGCUCUGUCUCUUGUGGGUAAAGUGACCUACGUCUUUGUCAUGCUGAAAGCUGUAUGUUGGGGGCUGGUAUGUAUGUACCUGUGUACCCCACGCAAGCCCUUAAUGGUAUAGACCAGAUAAACUGCAGGCUCUGUAGAAGAUGGAUCCCAAGUUCAUGGACACCAGAUUUGGCUGUGGCCAAUUCCGUGAUAUAAAGAGGAAAUCAUUCAUGAAUACUUAAAAGAGACAAGACUGACUGGGCUGAACAUGUAGCUCAGUGGGUAAACAUCUGGGGACUGGGUCUGAACCCCUAGAACCCGGAGUAGGCUGAGUGAACUCAGUAGCUAGUGUCUGUAAUGCCAGUGUUCCUACAGCGAAACAGACACAGGAGAAACCCUGCAGGCUCAGGGCCGGAUAGCCUGUCAUGCCCAGUGAGGAACAGCAAAGAGGCCCCGGAUCAAACAGGUGGAAGGCGAGAAUCAAUACCCGGAUGUGCUCUGACCUCUGUGCACUCUCACAAACACAUGCACACAUUCACAUGCAUAAAUGUUCAUGCACACGCAGAAGAUUUUUUUUUUUUUAAGGAAAAGAAAGAUUGCCAAGGAAGCAGGUACUUAUUGGCACUAUGUUUCACAGCUGACAAGAACAUGGUGUUUUUAUUCCUCCUGGCAAGGGAAAAAAGAGCACCCAACUUUACUCAAACAUCCUUCACAUCACAUGAUUCAUCCCUGAAACUACGCAAGAGGUUCUUUAACGUGGUUUUCAACCUGGAAAGAUUCUAAAAUGUCUGUGCAAUGUAGAAAGUUUAAAAUAGGCUGGCUCCUACUGAGGCUAAAACCAUGUGUUACAGAAGUGUUCCCAGGCAAACUGGCAGCAGCAGUGGAGAAUGGAAAAUGCUCUAAGGGGCCGUGGGCAGGAUUCUGGAGAUCUGUGCCAUACCGUACUAAGUAAAGCCAGCGGGGAAAGAGAAUCAUCUAAAAAGCAGCUUCUAUGUAGAGCUGCAGCAAUUGAGGUAGAGGUAUCUCUUAUUUUUUUGAGACAAGAUUUCUCUUUUUUCAAAGGUUUAUUUAUUUGUUUUAUGUAUAUGACCACUGUUUUCAUGCACAGCAGAAGAGGGAAUCAGAUUCCAUUACAGAUGGUUAAAAGCCACUGUGUGGUUUCUGGGAAUUGAACUCAGGACCUCUGGAAGAGCAGCUAGUGCUCUUAACCGCUAAGCCAUCUCUAGCCCAAGGCAGGGUUUCUCUGUGUAGCCGUGGCUAUCCUGCACUUACUUUGUAGACCAGGCUGUCCUCAAACUCACAGAGAUCCACCUACCUCUGCCUCCUGAGUGCUGGGAUUACAAGCAUGCACCACCAUGCCCAGCUGGCAGAGACAUUCCAACAGCUGGUCAGUUGUGGCACUGGAGAGAUAAAUCAGAACGUGAUGCUCUUGCAGAGAAUCCAAGUUCAAUUCCCAGAACCCACAUGGCAUCUCACAGCUGUUGUUCUAGUUCCAAGAGAUCUAGUCCCCUCUUCUGCCUUCCACUGCCACUGCACAUACGUGCGCAUAAUGUGUGCAGUCAAAACACUCAGACAUAUAGCACACAAAAUUUUAAAAACAGGGCUGGGGAGAUGGCUCAGAGGUUAAGAGCACUGGCUGCUCUUCCAGAGGUCCUGAGUUCAAUUCCCAGCAACCACAUGGUGGCUCACAGCAAUCUAUAAUGAGAUCUGGUGCCCUCCUCUGGCGGCAUGCAGGUGUAUAGCACUAUUAGGAGGUGUGGCCUUCUUGGAGGAAGUGUGAUCUUCAACUGUGAGAUUUCAAAUGCAUAACCAAGGCCUAGUCUGUCUGUCUGUCUAUCUGUCUCUCUCUCCUCCGCCACUACUUGUGGAUCCAGAUAUAGGACCCUCAACUACCGCUCCAGCACCAUGUCUGCCUGCAUGCUUCCCAUCGUGAUGACAGUGGACUAAAGUUCUGAACUGUGAGCCAGCUCCCAUUAAGACAAGGCUGCAUAAUUCCAAGCUUCAGGCUACACCUGUGAUGACAGCACAAGAAGGUGGAGGCAGGAGGAUCAAGAAACUCAAGGUCAUUCUCAGUUACAUAGUGCCGGGGAAUUGAACUCAGGCAUCAGGCUUGGAGUCAAGUACCUUUAACCUACUGAGCCACUGUGGCCCUCAGCAACACUGAACAAAGACAUUACAGAUGGCUUGAAUCUUCACAACCAAAAUUUGAGCACGGUACACAGAAAGGGAAGAAAGAGGAAUCGCUUAUUUGUUACUAGGUACUUUUUUGUAUGAAGAAAGCUUCCUUUGUUAAUUCAUUCAACAUUUGUUGAGGAAAAACAGGCUGUGAAAGAAGAGGUCCCUCCAGAAACUAGCUGCUACAGAUCAAGGGUGAAGGCCCAGCCUGGACCACCCCGCCACAGGAAGGGCUCCAGAGACAGAAAGUGCCCCAAGGUCCUGGAAGACUUUACAUUUGUUUUAAAACACUUAAACUCUCUGGUAAAAGAUGUACAUAAUGGCUAAUUAUUAUAUGAUUCAUUUUUAUUCAUAACUCUGUGUACUGUUAAUUCUUAUCUUAAACUAAUUUCAUUCCUCCUAA